UAAGAAGCAAAAAAUUGCAUUUAGUUUCGACCUAAAAAUUUGAUUUUAAUAAUCCUUAU
rnacentral:tRNA from 1 species